GCGGCGAACCUCGCCUGCGGACCUCGCCGCGGCCCGGGAGUUCCAGGCGCGCCUCCGCGUCUCUGCCUCCAGGGACUCCCCCAGGAGAGACCCGCGCGAGCCCGGGCGCGAGGAAGUCGCGGCAGGCAUGGAAGACGGGUUUCCCGGCCCUUUUGUCUGCGGGAACUCACUCGCCUUUGGGUGAGAAGGAGGCGACGCCCACCGCAGAGGGCCGACCCGUGUCAGAGGUUCCGCGCUCGCCAAAGCCGGACUUCAGAUCUGAGUGGCGGCGGGGCCCGGCGCCUGUGGGAUCCACGCUCCAUCUGGCCUGGUGCCUACACCAUCAUUCCUGGAGAAGCUGUCAACUCUGACAAAUGAAGGAAAGUGGAAGCCAGGAAAGCUGCACCUGCAAAAACUGUCGGAAUUCCAGGGCCAGCCCCGCCCAUCUGUUCUUUAGGAGUACUGUGCUUGGACCCUGCUUGAUUGUUUGAGAUCUAGCAGUUGAAUUAUCUGAAAGUAAGCUCCAGAAAUGGAAAUUCACGCCCAGUAUCUUGCACAAACGUUUUAAUAUCCAAGUGUCCUGGAUCCAGACAAGAGGCAAGGGUCCUUCCAGCCGAAGACAUAGCAGAUCCUGUAGAGGCUGAAAAACCUUCUGUUGUGGGUAAAAAGCAAUAAUUUAGACAACGCAGAGAAAAUUCCUAGCUAGAAGUAAAUUUUUUAAAAAGGUUCCAAGCGAAGUCAGAAAAUGUAUAUUUUACAAAAUCCUUUGAACGUUGUUUGACAGUAAAUGUGUUUUUCUAGUUAUGCUUGUUGAUCUGAAUUUCUCAGUGACCCUUUGCAUGUGUAAAUCGUGAGAUUCGUUCUCAGCAAAGAUGACGGAUGGAUCUUUUAGGAAUCCACGCUUUAGAGUUGAUUUUCUGGGUUGGCCGUGGAAGCUGCUACACUUUAGAUGCUUUAUGGGAUGGUUGUCAAGAGAACCUUGGGUAAAAUUUCUCAGGAGUGUCUCUAAACACAUUAUUCAUAAUUAAAAAGUGAUUCAUAGAAAUCACCAGAAAAAUUAUGGCACGUUAUGUUCCAGCAUGUUUUUAGGCCAUGUGGAAUAAAUAAAAUCAUUAAGGUCUGCGUGGGUAAUACCGCCUCCCAGCCUUCCUCUGACUGUGCCAGCAGGACCUGCUGUAGCUUCAUAGAUGUGACAGCAGCCUGGGGGCCAUGAGCCAGAGGACGUAGGAUUUUUCUCCAGGUAGUUUUCUGUUUUGAUCAUGCAAAACCAUCCCUUUUAAGACUCCUGAAUGAUAUAGUCCAUGAGGUGGGUAAAGUAACACUAAAAGGCACAUCUUUAAAAACCUUAGGGUUUUUUUUUUUUGGGGAAAACAAAAAUUGUGGAAACCCCACAAGAGAGAGUCCAAAAGAUAGAAGAACCCAUGGGAGCAUAGGCCCACCUGGUUAGAGGCCAACUGAUGUUCAGUAGGUCUUCUGGCACCUUGGUGAAAUUCCCAAGACCAACACCUGCCACCAAACUUUGCUCUGCAGGGAAAAGCAAUACACUGUGGCCCCAGGGUUUUUGCAAUACAAAGCCCUUCAGCUGGUAGUUAUGGGGGGACCACCGCUGCUUCCUCUUCCUGGUAGAGAAGUAGGGCAGGGCUUAUCAAGGCUUUUUAGAGGCCUGUACUGGUUAAUGGAACUUCUGAAGCCAUUGGAUUUACAGUCUAACUUUCCUUAGGCAUUGGUGGACUAUGACAAUAUGUCAGUUGCUAAUAUUUAUGUGGGAAAUUGCCGUUUAC